AUUGAACGCUGGCGGCAUGCCUUACACAUGCAGGUCGAACGGUAACAGGUUAAGCUGACGAGUGGCGAACGGGUGAGUAAUGUAUCGGAACGUGCCCAGUCGUGGGGGAUAACUGCUCGAAAGAGCAGCUAAUACCGCAUACGACCUGAGGGUGAAAGCGGGGGAUCGCAAGACCUCGCGCGAUUGGAGCGGCCGAUAUCAGAUUAGGUAGUUGGUGAGGUAAAGGCUCACCAAGCCGACGAUCUGUAGCUGGUCUGAGAGGACGACCAGCCACACUGGGACUGAGACACGGCCCAGACUGCUACGGGAGGCAGCAGUGGGGAAUUGUGGACAAUGGGCGCAAGCCUGAUCCAGCCAUGCCGCGUGCGGGAAGAAGGCCUGCGGGUUGUAAACCGCUUUUGUCAGGGAAGAAAAGGUUCUGGCUAAUACCUGGGACUCAUGACGGUACCUGAAGAAUAAGCACCGGCUAACUAC
rnacentral:rRNA from 1 species